CAGUCGCCGCGGGAAUACGAAGGGUGCAAGCGUUACUCGGAAUUACUGGGCGUAAAGGGCGCGUAGGCGGUUUGGCAAGUUUGGUGUGAAAUCUUCGGGCUCAACUCGAAGUCUGCACCGAAAACUGCCGGGCUUGAGUAUGGGAGAGGUGAGUGGAAUUUCCGGUGUAGCGGUGAAAUGCGUAGAUAUCGGAAGGAACACCUGUGGCGAAAGCGGCUCACUGGACCAUUACUGACGCUGAGGCGCGAAAGCUAGGGGAGCAAACAGGAUUAGAUACCCCCGUAGUCCCUGUCUCUUAUAU
rnacentral:rRNA from 1 species